UACGUAGGGACCAAGCGUUGUUCGGAUUUACUGGGCGUAAAGGGCGCGUAGGCGGCUUGACAAGUCACUUGUGAAAUCUCCGGGCUUAACUCGGAACGGCCAAGUGAUACUGCAGUGCUAGAGUGUGGAAGGGGCAAUCGGAAUUCUUGGUGUAGCGGUGGAAAUGCGUAGAUAUCAAGAGGAACACCUGAGGUGAAGACGGGUUGCUGGGCCAACACGUGACGCUGAUGCGCGAAAGCCAGGGGAGCAAACGGG
rnacentral:rRNA from 1 species